rnacentral:rRNA from 1 species
AUGAACGCUAGCUACAGGCUUAACACAUGCAAGUCGAGGGGCAGCAUUUCAGUUUGCUUGCAAACUGGAGAUGGCGACCGGCGCACGGGUGAGUAACACGUAUCCAACCUGCCGAUAACUCGGGGAUAGCCUUUCGAAAGAAAGAUUAAUACCCGAUGGUAUAAUCAGACCGCAUGGUCUUGUUAUUAAAGAAUUUCGGUUAUCGAUGGGGAUGCGUUCCAUUAGGCAGUUGGUGAGGUAACGGCUCACCAAACCUUCGAUGGAUAGGGGUUCUGAGAGGAAGGUCCCCUACAUUGGAACUGAGACACGGUCCAAACUCCUACGGGAGGCAGCAGUGAGGAAUAUUGGUCAAUGGGCGCAGGCCUGAACCAGCCAAGUAGCGUGAAGGAUGACUGCCCUAUGGGUUGUAAACUUCUUUUAUAUGGGAAUAAAGUUUUCCACGUGUGGAAUUUUGUAUGUACCAUAUGAAUAAGGAUCGGCUAACUCCGUGCCAGCAGCCGCGGUAAUACGGAGGAUCCGAGCGUUAUCCGGAUUUAUUGGGUUUAAAGGGAGCGUAGGUGGACAGUUAAGUCAGUUGUGAAAGUUUGCGGCUCAACCGUAAAAUUGCAGUUGAUACUGGCUGUCUUGAGUACAGUAGAGGUGGGCGGAAUUCGUGGUGUAGCGGUGAAAUGCUUAGAUAUCACGAAGAACUCCGAUUGCGAAGGCAGCUCACUGGACUGCAACUGACACUGAUGCUCGAAAGUGUGGGUAUCAAACAGGAUUAGAUACCCUGGUAGUCCACACAGUAAACGAUGAAUACUCGCUGUUUGCGAUAUACAGUAAGCGGCCAAGCGAAAGCAUUAAGUAUUCCACCUGGGGAGUACGCCGGCAACGGUGAAACUCAAAGGAAUUGACGGGGGCCCGCACAAGCGGAGGAACAUGUGGUUUAAUUCGAUGAUACGCGAGGAACCUUACCCGGGCUUAAAUUGCAUUUGAAUAUAUUGGAAACAGUAUAGCCGUAAGGCAAAUGUGAAGGUGCUGCAUGGUUGUCGUCAGCUCGUGCCGUGAGGUGUCGGCUUAAGUGCCAUAACGAGCGCAACCCUUAUCUUUAGUUACUAACAGGUCAUGCUGAGGACUCUAGAGAGACUGCCGUCGUAAGAUGUGAGGAAGGUGGGGAUGACGUCAAAUCAGCACGGCCCUUACGUCCGGGGCUACACACGUGUUACAAUGGGGGGUACAGAAGGCAGCUACCUGGUGACAGGAUGCUAAUCCCAAAAGCCUCUCUCAGUUCGGAUCGAAGUCUGCAACCCGACUUCGUGAAGCUGGAUUCGCUAGUAAUCGCGCAUCAGCCAUGGCGCGGUGAAUACGUUCCCGGGCCUUGUACACACCGCCCGUCAAGCCAUGAAAGCCGGGGGUACCUGAAGUACGUAACCGCAAGGAGCGUCCUAGGGUAAAACUGGUAAUUGGGGCU